rnacentral:rRNA from 1 species
CUUCAGCAUCUCCUGGUGGAGUGUGUUUUCUCUCGCAUAAUCUGGCAUGGCGUUCUCUCCUGGUGUUGCCCCGAACUCACCAUACCAGAUGGCUCCCUUUGCUUCCUAGACUGGCUGAGCUCAGCCCUUACCAUGGUGACCCAAGAUAAAAGACGAGGACUCUCCACCAUUGCCGCCUUGACGGUAUGGUCCAUUUGGCGCCACCGCAAUGCGAUCAUCUUCGACAAGAUCACACCCUCCUCUGCCUCGCUCCUGGCUGCGAUCCAAGACGACGCCCGCUUCUGGGUCUGUGCAGGAGCCAAAGGAUUGAGUAGUAUCAUCCCUGUAACAUAG